GGAGAGGUGUCCGAGUGGCUGAAGGAGCACGCUUGGAAAGCGUGUAUGCGGGGAACCGUAUCGAGGGUUCGAAUCCCUCUCUCUCCGCCA
rnacentral:tRNA from 1 species